rnacentral:rRNA from 1 species
GAUGAACGCUGGCGGCGUGCUUAACACAUGCAAGUCGAACGAUGAAAGCCGGAGCUUGCUCUGGCUGGAUUAGUGGCGAACGGGUGAGUAACACGUGAGUAACCUGCCCCAGACUCUGGGAUAAGCGUUGGAAACGACGUCUAAUACCGGAUAUGAGCUUCAGCCGCAUGGCUAGGAGUUGGAAAGAAUUUCGGUCUGGGAUGGACUCGCGGCCUAUCAGGUAGUUGGUGAGGUAAAUGCUCACCAAGCCGACGACGGGUAGCCGGCCUGAGAGGGUGACCGGCCACACUGGGACUGAGACACGGCCCAGACUCCUACGGGAGGCAGCAGUGGGGAAUAUUGGACAAUGGGCGAAAGCCUGAUCCAGCAAUGCCGCGUGAGUGAUGAAGGCCUUAGGGUUAUAAAGCUCUUUUACCCGGGAUGAUAAUGACAGUACCGGGAGAAUAAGCUCCGGCUAACUCCGUGC